UCCUUUGCUCAUUUCUAAAUUCAGUUGUGAUAUUUCUACAGAUCAUCCCUGGAAUGACUUUAACUCACAAUGAAUUUGUAUCCACAGGAGGCCGAGCAAGACUCUUACUUGUGUCUUCAUGAUUUUUCUGCUGUAUGGACACAGAUAGAGGUCAGGUGUCUUCAAAUAUUGGGAGAGAGACUGAUCACAGUGAUUCUGGAAAGAUUCUGGGCAAUCUGCUGGGAAAAUUAAAAAAACUAAAACUCCUGCCAACCUAGAAAAUUUCUCCACAAAGGUAGAAAAAAGAACAUAAUUUUAUUGUUGAAUGAGCACUAAACUAGAAUGUGAUAUACAUCACAGGCAAAUAUCUGAAUAAAUGGCAAAGCCAGAA
rnacentral:lncRNA from 1 species